rnacentral:misc_RNA from 1 species
GUGAGACCAAAGAAGCGUAAAAGUGCUACGUCAGAACUUUUACCAUGGAAUAAACAAGUGGUGCAUGGCCUUCAAAGGCUUCAGAACAUCAGUUCGGCAGAACUGGAAUGGGCUCAUGCAGCAAACAGAUUGCCUGAGAAGGUGGAAGAUGAAACUGAAAUGGUAGAGGACAGACCACCAGGAUUUAGAUCAAAGAGAAGGCUUAUAUUGACAACACAGCUUAUGCAGCUGCUUUUUCACCCUUCGUUGGCAUCAGUUCUGUCUGCAGAUGCUAUGUCACAUUAUGAGAGUGUUGUACNNNNNNNACUUGCUUGCUCGAUCAACCCUGGGAGAUGCCUGCAGCACACUCUCUUGUGGUGGAAGUGAAACUCCUGUGCCUUCCAGCAGUGGAAAUUCCCUGCC